rnacentral:rRNA from 1 species
GACGAACGCUGGCGGCGUGCUUAACACAUGCAAGUCGAGCGAAAAGACCUGCUUCUUGCUCUUCUUUCGUUAGCCUCGGAUGGCUGACUAAUACGUGGAUAACCUGUCUACAAGCCCGGGCUUACUUCUGGAAACCGGAGCCUAUACCUGAUAACCUAUUUAACCGCAUGGUUCAAUAUUGAAUGACGGUCUUUCUUCUAUUUAUUGGUGCUUCCGCGCCGCCUUAUCUAGUUGGUAAGGUAACGGCUUACCAAGGCAACGACGCCGAGCCGACCUGAGAGGGUGAUCGGCCACACUGGAACUGAGACACGGUCCAGACUCCUACGGGAGGCAGCAGUAGGGAAUCUUCCGCAAUGGGCGAAAGCCUGACGGAGCAACGCCGCGUGAGUGAUGAAGGUCUUCGGAUCGUAAAACUCUGUUAUUAGGGAAGAACAAAUGUGUAAGUAACUAUGCACGUCUUGACGGUACCUAAUCAGAAAGCCACGGCUAACUACGUG